GUAGGGGGCGAGCGUUGUCCGGAAUCACUGGGCGUAAAGGGCGCGUAGGCGGCCUAGUAAGUCAGAUGUGAAAAGUGAGGGCUCAACCCUUAGAGUGCAUCUGAUACUGCUAGGCUUGAGUACAGAAGAGGAAAGCGGAAUUCCUAGUGUAGCGGUGAAAUGCGUAGAUAUUAGGAGGAACACCAGUGGCGAAGGCGGCUUUCUGGGCUGAAACUGACGCUGAGGCGCGAAAGCGUGGGGAGCAAACAGGAUUAGAUACCCUGGUAGUCCACGCCGUAAACGAUGGGUACUAGGUGUCGGGGGUAUCGAUACCCUCGGUGCCGGAGUAAACACAAUNAGUACCCCGCCUGGGGAGUACGAUCGCNAGAUUGAAACUCANAGGNAUUG
rnacentral:rRNA from 1 species